GAUGAAGAACGUAGCGAAAAGCGAUACGUAAUGUGAAUUGCAAAUUCAGUGAAUCAUCGAGUCUUUGAACGCACAUUGCGCCCCCUGGUAUUCCGGGGGGCAUGCCUGUCCGAGCGUCAUUGCUGCCCUCAAGCACGGCUUGUGUGUUGGGCCCCGUCCUCCGAUCCCGGGGGACGGGCCCGAAAGGCAGCGGCGGCACCGCGUCCGGUCCUCGAGCGUAUGGGGCUUUGUCACCCGCUCUGUAGGCCCGGCCGGCGCUUGCCGAUCAACCCAAAUUUUUAUCCAGGUUGACCUCGGAUCAGGUAGGGAUACCCGCUGAACUUAAGCAUAUCAAUAAGCGGAGGA
rnacentral:misc_RNA from 1 species